rnacentral:rRNA from 1 species
AAAGUUUGAUCCUGGCUCAGAUUGAACRCUGGCGKAAUGCUUUACAYAUGCAAGUCGAACGGCAGCACGGGAGCUUGCUCCUGGUGGCGAGUGGCGAACGGGUGAGUAAUACAUAGGAACAUACCCAGUAAUGGGGGAUAACGCCGAGAAAUCGGUGCUAAUACCGCAUACGCCCUACGGGGGAAAGCGGGGGAUCUUCGGACCUCGCGUUAUUGGAUUGGCCUAUGUCUGAUUAGCUAGUUGGUGAGGUAAAGGCUCACCAAGGCUUCGAUCAGUAGCUGGUCUGAGAGGAUGAUCAGCCACACUGGAACUGAGACACGGUCCAGACUCCUACGGGAGGCAGCAGUGGGGAAUCUURGACAAUGGGCGAAAGCCUGAUCCAGCCAUUCCGCGUGAGUGAAGAAGGCCUUCGGGUUGUAAAGCUCUUUCGGCAGGAACGAAAUGGUCACGGUUAAUAACUGUGACUUCUGACGGUACCUGAAGAAGAAGCACCGGCUAACUACGUGCCAGCAGCCGCGGUAAUACGUAGGGUGCGAGCGUUAAUCGGAAUUACUGGGCGUAAAGCGUGCGCAGGCGGUUUUGUAAGUCAGAUGUGAAAGCCCCGGGCUUAACCUGGGAAUGGCGUUUGAAACUACAAGGCUAGAGUGUGCCAGAGGGGGGUAGAAUUCCACGUGUAGCAGUGAAAUGCGUAGAGAUGUGGAGGAAUACCGAUGGCGAAGCAGCCCCCUGGGAUAACACUGACGCUCAUGCACGAAAGCGUGGGGAGCAACAGGAUUAGAUACCCUGGUAGUCCACGCCCUAAACGAUGUCAACUAGUUGUCGGGAGGGUAACCCUCUUGGUAACGCAGCUAACGCGUGAAGUUGACCGCCUGGGGGAGUACGGUCGCAAGAUUAAAAMUCAAAGGAAUUGACGGGGCCCGCAMAAGCGGKGGAWUAUGKUGAWUAAUUCGAUGCAACSCGAAAAGCUUACUACCCUUGAMAUGUACGGAACUUUCAGAAAUGAUUGGUGCYCGAARAAAACGGWAACACAGGUGCUGCAUGCUGUCGWCRCUCUGGUCUKGAAUGUUGGGUUAGUCCGCCAACGRAGGCAACCUUGCCAUUAUGGCAUCAUAUGGCCUUAAUGGACUGCCGGGUGAAMACCCGRWARAAAGGGGGGGAUAAAGC